UUUUUUUUUUUUUUUUUUUUUUUUUUUGGUCUUUUUGCCUUUUCUUGGGCCACUCCCGAGGCAUAUGGAGGUUCCCAGGCUAGGGGUCUAAUUGGAGAUGUAGCCACAGGCCUACGCCAGAGACACAGCAACAUGGGAUCCGAGCCGCAUCUGCGACUUACACCACAGCUCACGGCAACGCUGGAUCCUUAACCCACUGAGCAAGGGCAGGGAUGGAACCCGCAACCUCAUGGUUCCUAGUCGGAUUCGUUAACCACUGCGCCACAAUGGGAACUUCUCAAACUGAAUUUUAAAAUCACAUUAACUAAAAUAGUGUGAUCUUGACACAGGAAGAGACUAAUGGAUGGAUCUACAGGCUAAGAAAUCUAAAAACAUGUAUUUUCACAUAUAUAAUUGUUACUACGGGAUGGGAUUUCAAAUUAGAAAAGAAAAAAUUCAAAGAAGAAGUAAAAGACCACAAUACAAAAAAUAAGUGUCACAUGGACCAAAAUCUAAAUCACUUGAAAGAAUGAACAAAAGAAAAAAAGGCACAACUUAGAAUAGAUUUACAAGGAAAUCCUGCAGUAGCAUUGAGAACUUUGUCUAGAUACUCAUGUUGCAACAGAACAAAGGGUGGGGGAAAAAAUGUAAUUGUAAUGUAUACAUGUAAGGAUAACCUGACCCCCUUGCUGUACAGUGGGAAAAUAAUUAAAAAAAAAAAGAAAAAAAGGAAACAUUAAAUUAGACAAAAAUACAGAAAAAGGAGUUCCCAUCAUGGCACAGCGGAAACGAAUCCGACUAGGAACCAUAAGGUUGCGGGUUCGAUACGUGGCCUCGCUCAGUGGGUUAAGGACCCGGCAUUGCUGUGAGCUGUUCUGUAGGUCGCAGACAUGGCUCAGAUCUGGCACUGCUGUGGCUGUGGCGCAGGCCAGGAGCUGUAGCUCCAAUUAGACCCCUAGCCUGGGAACCUCCAUAUGCCGUGUGUGCAGCCAAAAAACUUUUUUUAAUUUUAAAAUAACAUUGGAAGGCACGGCUUUCCCAUCAUCUUCUCUGAUUACUGUAAAUAACUAGCAAUUAGAAUCAGAAUUUGUUUCUUCAUCUUUUUAGGGCUGUACCCACAGCACAUGGAAAUUCCCAGGCUAGGGGUCAAAUUGGAGUUGCAGCUGCUGGCCUAUGCCACAGCCACAGAAAAACCAGAUCUGAGCCACAUGUGCUACCUACACCACAGCUCACAGCAACACUGGAUCCUUAACCCACUGAAAGAGGCCAGUGAUCAAACCCACAUCCUCACAGACACUGUGUCGGGUUCUUAGCCCACUGAGCCACAAGGGGAACUCCUAGAAUCAGAAUUUAUUUGAGGAACAGAACACUGGCUGUGUACCUAACAUAAGAAAACUACAUUUUUAAAACAAAUUUCUACUGUUAACAAUUAUCAUUCAACAUAGAAUGUCAUAGGUAUCUGAACUGCACUGAAUGAAUGCUAUGAUUUGAUAUCUGAACUAUACUAUUGGUUCUCAGAUGGUUUGCCUACAUUUCUUUUCCAUUCUAUAUUAAACUGAGAAGGUAUGAAGAAGCAGAAUUAUCUCAUUUAAUUUUAGCUCUCCCUUCUGGGCCCUCUCUAUAUAUAACAAAUGAAGUAGCCAGUUUUUUAAAAAGUCAAAAUCAAAAUGCUCUUACAACCAAGGGGGUCUUCAAGUUGAUGAAAACAGGGAAAUUGGGAUUGACAUAACAGGAAGGACAAUUAGAUAAAUUCCCAGUUCUCUGAAUCUUCAUAAAUGACUAGAUUUAUUUGAAGUGUUUUAUAUUCUCAAAAUAGGAACAACCAGAUAAAAGAGAUAAUUUAUGUCCCUAGUAAGAAGUACUUUACAGUGAAGUAUUUGUACUACUUAUUAGCUGAUACUAAAAAAUUGGCCUCCCGCUGAAAUUUUCAAUAACAUACUAAUAUACAGUCAGCUAGUUAACACAUUCUCGAUAAUUUUUAGUUACUUGAUGAUUAAUAAAAGUAAUUAGUCUUCUAACCCAUUCUAUGGUGAUUUCACAGUAAAACCACUAACUAAAACACAAACUUAAAUUUUAAUUGACUAAAAUUUACCUUCUUGGCCUUCAUGACAAGGUUGUUAUCUUAUAAAAGCAAACUCUUUUCUCCGUGAAAUAAGAUUAAAAUUCUUCACUUUCUGUACAGAAAACUAGAACUUUCUCUAAAUGAAACAAAAACAGACUAUUAAAACAGUUUAGGGAACAAAAACUCACAGGUAACAUUUAUGACAUAACUCAAUGACAAGAAUCCUCACAAACUCUACUGUACAGGGCAGGCAAGGACAAACCACCAGCAGCCAGAAGACAGUAUUACUAAUGACUAUGCCAAAGAAAGCAGAGAAAGCAAUGGGAUGCCUGCGGGCUGGCAGAACAGGAGAACUCCCAGAGCCCUCUGGAAAGUCAGUAGAAAGCACAAUGGACCAAUCUCAGGUUAGCAACUGAAACUCAAAGGGGCUCUGCCCAGUCCAAUAGUAGGUGAGUGCACGUCUGAAAGGGCUGCAGCAGUUUGUCUCCAUGGACUCUUGAAACUGACCCUCCAGGACCCCCUUCCAGGACACGGAUCCACAAUGAGGAGAAAAUGCUUUGAGUGGAAUCAAAAUUAGGCAAAACAGGAACCACAAAGAAAGAAAGAGCAGGUCUAGAUAAAACUGAUAGAGAGGAAUUAGGAAACCCCAGAAAGCAAGCUGUCUGUGCAAAAACCACCAUAGAAGCUGUACAACAGAAGAAGUAUUAUGGGGGAGGGGGAACAAAUUAAAUUAAUCCUCCUUCGAAGAGAUGAAGAAAAUUAACUUCACAUAAAAAUGAACAAAAGGGAGUUUCCACUGUGGCACAGCAGAAACAAAUCU
ensembl:lncRNA